GGGUGACACGGGGUCUGGCGGAAACGAAAGAGAAAGGGAGCGAGCAGAGCGGGGCGAGGGCCUGGCUGGGGUCUCUCGCUGUCUGCGCUGCAGAGUUGCCUGUCGCCCUUCUCUACGGGCCACAUCUAUACACAUAGAUCUGUUAGAGCUACAGGUUUUAUUAGAAACAUUUAGUAAUGGCAGAUCACCUUUGUCCACAAUUGUUUCUAACACCAUGACCCAGGAGGCUGUGGCCCAGGUGGCACUGAAGGCUGCACUGCUGCAGGUGCUGGGACAGCACCCUGUUGACUUGCCCCUGGGUGAUGUGGCUGGGGCCUUCCACCACCUGUAUGGCACCCAGCUGCAGUUCAGCUCCACUGAGGCUGGAGAACCCCUGCUGGGGACCAGAGCCACCUCCCCCAUGGAGAGUGAUGGGACCCCCAGCAACUCGGACAACAAGGAGGAGAAGAACAAGGGCACAGCCUUCCACCAGGCCGGCAUGCUCCUUGGCCAGGUCCUGCAGGGCUUCCCCUGUGGCAUGACCUUGCGCAGGUUGCACCACAUCCUACAGGCAGAGGGGAUCCUGCAGGACCUGCCCAGACACUGGGACUCCUUGGAGUUUGUCUACCUUCUAUUCCAUGUGCCGGGAAUCAAGCUGUGGGUACCCAAAAAUGGCACGGAGGUUGUGGCCUACCGGGCAGUGCCAGACCCUUCAGCAGUCCAGAGGCUGGUGCAUCUGAUCCUGGGAUAUUACGGGACGCCUGGGGGCUGCUGGACAGUGCCGGAGCUGGAGGGCUUCAUGGCGCAGACAUACGGGCUGGAUUUGGAGGGCUACAGCCAAGAGCAUGGCUACAGGGGGACUGUGGACUUCCUGCGCUCCAUGCCUGACCUCGCCCUGCAUACCCCACUCUGGGGGGGACCCUACAUCCUCCACCUCUAUGCAGGACCUACCUUGCCCCCCACACACAUGAUUCCACCACCCCUCAACACUGAGCCCCUGUGUGAGAUCCUGGCACCUUCAGACCCUCAGCCCUUUGAACCCCCUGUAUCAGCACAGCGCCUGGAGACCCUCUUCCUGAAGCACCUAGACCAAGGAGCAUUGGACAGGGUGCUGAGCCUGCUGCGGGAUGGGCUCAUGGAGCACCCAGGUGGCCUGGAACUGGGGGUGCUGAAGGAGGCCGUGAGGAGAGGCCUUGGUGUCGACCUUGAGGACCUGAGCUGGGACCUGGGCUACCGGGGCACCCUGGAGCUGCUAAGCAAUCUGCCAGGUGUUUGGGUCUGGGGGCCUGAGAAGGGGGACCACUGCAUCCUCCACAUGGAGCGAGGCCUGGAUGAGGUGCUAGCACUGCUGGCAGGAGGCCUGGUGGGGGCUCCAGCAGGUGCAGAGCUGUGUGAGCUGCAGGAGGCUGUGGGAAUGGAGCUUGGUGUCGACCUGGAGCAGCUGGGCCGGGACCUGGGCUAUGCCAGUGCCAAGGACUUCCUCACCCACGUGCCUGGCCUCCAGCUCCAGGCCCCUGAGAGGGGCAGCCACUGCAUAGUGCAACUGCAGAGAGAUUUCAUCUAUGACCCUGCAGUGGUGCAGAAAUAUUCCAGCCUGGACCCUAGCCAUGCAGGGCACAAGAGAAAGAAGCCAUGGCCUGGGCACCAGGAGCCCUGCUGUUGCUGCAGCCAGGGGACAGACAGUCACAGCAAUUGGGGUGACAUGGACUCUGGAGUCACCAUGGAUGUGCCCGUACCUCCUUGGGCCAAGCAUGCCCCCUGUGUUACCCAGCCUGCCUGCCUGGAUCCUGUGGAGACCACCCAGCUGGCAAAACCAAAGCCAGGCUUGGACCAGUUCUCAGCGGCCAUCCUGGAAUGUCUCCAUGGCUACAGCAGUGGCCUGCGAAUGGAGACACUGAAGAAGAUGCUAUGCCAAAGACAGGCCAUGGACCUGGAGGAUUUUGUGAAAUAUGGCGGGUAUGGGAACACUGUGGAGCUGCUGCAGCAAGUGCCUGAGGUCCAGCUCAUCUUCCCUGAGAGAGGGGAAAAGUGCCUGGUCAGACUGAAAACAGACCUGGAUAUGUUGGAGGGGCUGAUCCAAGAUAUUCUGACACCCUUUCCCAGUGGUCUGCGGCUCAAGAAGCUGAAGGAGAUGCUGGUGAAGAAGCAUGGGACUGACCUGGAGUCCUGGAGUCAAGGCGCAGGCUACAGGGACGUGAUCUCCUGUCUGAAGAACAUGCCAGGGCUCAGACUCCAUGGCUCCGGGAGAAGCAACAACUGCCUGGUCCAAAUCCAGAACCAGGCAGGAAGCCCCAUCCUCCAGCUCAUGGUAAAGUCUAAGAGGAAGAAGCCACAAGGGAAUCAAGAAGAUUCUGGACUGUUACCUGGUGGCAGUGCCAAACCCUUGUCCAGCCCCAAGGGGCACCUAUCCAAUGCUGCUUCUCCAGCACCCCCUGACAACUGCUGGUUCAAGUCUCAGCUACCCAGUACCACCACCACCAAAUCCCUGGCCCAAAUCCCUGGUGCCCCUGCUGUGCAGAGCAUGCUGAGUCAGCACCUCCAACCUAAUGCCCAUUUGCCAGGCUGGCUCAUGAACUCACCCCAGCCAGCUGGCAGCCGCUUAGGCCUGCACAUGGGCAAGGAUACCCAAGGGCCUGGCCCUCAGCUGGACAGUGCUUCCUCAGGCUUUGAAGUGAACAAGGAAACCCCAGUAGGUAGGACCCAGCUGGACAGCCCUCCCCAGAAUCCAUGGGCACACAAGGAGUCCCCAGGGCCUGGUGCACUGUUAGUCAGUGCACCCUCAGUCCUGAGAAUGAAUAAAGGGACACAGUGGUCCAGCACCCAGCUUGAUACCAUUCCUUCAGGCCCAAAGACUGGAAAGGAAACUCAGGGGCCAACCACUCAGCUGUAUCGUGCCCCUUGGGGCCCUUGGGUAAAGGACGAAACCCAGGAACAAAGGGCCCAACUGGAUACCACCCCAUUGGGCCUAUGGCCAGUGGAAGAGACCAAGGUGCUUAGGACCCAGCCAGCCAGAGCAGACGUGCCUAGAGCCAGCCCAGGCUGUACCCCAUCCACCCAGCCCCCCGAAGACCUGGCAGACCUGAAGCAGAAUGUGGCCACCAUCCUGGCCCAGCAUCCCCAGGGCAUAUCUGUCUUCCAGUUCCGGGCAGCCUACAGUGCCACUUACCAUCACCCGCUGCCCUUGGGUCCCGCGGCCUCAGCCAAGCAGCGGCUGGCAGAAAUGCCUGAUGUGGUGAGGAUCCAAGGAUAUGGAGUCCAGACACUGCUGCUGCCUGUCUCUAACAGCAACCCCACAGGCGAUGAUCCUGGUUGCACCCUCUUGAUCGCAGAAGAACCUGCUGAUCCUGUUGGAGACCCUGACAGACUGGCUGAGCCCCCACCUGUCCUGGCCCCACAACCCUCAGCAGGCCCACGGGGGCCUGAGUCUCCACCUGCCCCCAGGGCCCUGCCACCCACUCAGGCUGUGAAGCCCAAAGCUGCCCUCAAGGAGCCUGAUCUGAUGCCCAGUGCUCCUGUGAUUACCACGGAGAUGGAGCCCAGCAGCAGCUCAUGGACCCCAGUCCAGCCUGAACUUCUCCCUGUCGUGGAUGAUGCCAGCUCAGCUUCUCAUCCAGUUGUGUACCCUCCACUCCAGCAGAUCCCAUUACCUGAUCCCAGCCCACUGCCUUCAUCCCUGCAGCCAGCCAAAGAUGUGGGAGCACAGAUCCCUCAAGCCCAGGCCAAGCCAGUCCAGCCUGUGUCUCCCACCCAAGGCCUCCCCCAUCCGUCUCCCAGGGCAGGUCCAGUCUCUAGAGUCUCAGAGUGGUACCAGGACCCUGUGGGCUUCCUUUUGGAUCCCAGCCCUGAUGUUUGGCCUUCCACUGAGGACAUUACCACCCCACUGACUAUUGCAGCCCCAAGAGCGGAGGUCAGCCCCCUCCCUACACCAUACGCCGACACCUUGAGAGCCCUGACGUCAUACGUACGCCCCAGGGAAAUCUGGCUGGAGAACAGGCUGCCUGGCCUGGCAGCGGUAAACAAUUCUUCAGAAGACUUUCUGGACCCCGCUGCACCCACUGCUUCUCCUCAGCCCUCCCCCACACUCAGCAAUGCUGAGAAUGACACACACAAGACACGCUGUUCCAUCAUAGGAUGGGAUAUGCCUGAGGUUUUCCCAUGUCCCUCUUGGACAGACACAGAGGCCCCGCAACAGCCAUCUCAGCCACACAGCUCUGACCGCUGCAUCAUUCUCUAGUGCUGCUAUCACCCAGCAGCAAACCAGAGCCAUCAAUAUACAUGGAGCUCUGAAGUAGAGCACACCUGGUCAUGUAACAACACUCAGGGAUACGGUUUUGCUGUCUGGACAGUAAAGGACUUGAUGAAAGACGUUUCUGUUAUAUGCAACGCUUCCAGAGAUGGGGACGUCUUCUGCUCCAGCAUCUCAAAGAUUGGAUAUAUGCCUGACCCCCUAAGGGACGUAUGUGUAUCCUCACCCUGGAGAAGUUCCUUUGUGUGAUACUAUGAAGAUCCUUCAAGAGAGCUGGAAACUUUGGGCCUGGAACUUUUAAGAAACGGCUACUAAUUUUUAUUUUAUGUGGGAUGGGAGCUAGUGGGAAAGAGCAGGGUGUUCUCCAAUUCAGAACCCACCUGAAAAUGGGAAUUAUGUGGCCUUUAUCCAGUCACUAAAAGUUGGUACCCAAGGGCUGAAAACAGCCAUCUGCAGAAGUGGUUUUUCAUCUUCAUUUCUUUAAAUGAAAUCCUACUACAGUAGGAUAUUUUUUACUAUAUAGGUUUGAUUUGGAUCAAUAAUUCUAUGUGCAUCUUCACUACCUGGCUCUUCACAGAAGUGAUUUGGGAAUGCUUUAGGAGGCAGAUCAUGGACUGAGACCCCCAAAUUGCAAGGUGUUAUACAGGCAGAGCAGAAACACAGUCUCUUCCUCAAAGGGUUUAUAGUCUGAAUGAAAGACCAGGCCCAGCAGAAGGCUAUAAGUCACCCCUAGGAUACAAGGACACUGCAGGGAUUUCUGUGACAAAUAAGCCCGGUUAAAUGGAGCUGAUGGGAACACUUUGAUAAAAAGUCUUCUGUGGUAAAUGAAAGAUAUUUUUAAGCGCCUAGAAAGGUCUCUGUCAACUUUGAAAUUCAAUAAGGGAAAAGGUGAAACAAAUUGUUCAAACCUUUGCUCAUGCUGGCACUGAUGAAAGGGAUUUUGUAUUUGUUUGGCCUUAAACAAUAAAAUAUUAACAAUGGAUAUUUCA
ensembl:lncRNA uncharacterized LOC109307233